GGAGGAGGAUCCUGCACGCAAUUUUCCUUGAGUCUACUGUGCUGGAGGGAGGAUCCUGCACGCAAUUUUCCUUGAGUCUACUGUGCUUGGAGGGAGGAUCCUGCACGCAAUUUUCCUUGAGUCUACUGUGCUGGAGGGAGGGUCCUGCACGCAAUUUUCCUUGAGUCUACUGUGCUGGAGGGAGGAUCCUGCACGCAAUUUUCCUUGAGUCUACUGUGCUGGGGUGAGGAUCCUGCACGCAAUUUUCCUUGAGUCUACUGUGCUGGAGGGAGGAUCCUGCACGCAAUUUUCCUUGAGUCUACUGUGCUUGGAGGGAGGAUCCUGCACGCAAUUUUCCUUGAGUCUACUGUGCUGGAGGGAGGAUCCUGCACGCAAUUUUCCUUGAGUCUACUGUGCUGGAGGGAGGAUCCUGCACGCAAUUUUCCUUGAGUCUACUGUGCUGGAGGGAGGAUCCUGCACGCAAUUUUCCUUGAGUCUACUGUGCUGGAGGAAGGAUCCUGCACGCAAUUUUCCUUGAGUCUACUGUGCUGGAGGGAGGGUCCUGCACGCAAUUUUCCUUGAGUCUACUGUACCGGGGGGAUAAUCCGGCACGCAAAUUUCCUUGAGUCUAUCACUGAAAGGUAAUGGCUGGCUGGCAAUGUGAAGAAUGUUGGGCGGGACGAAGGGAGAACUGCCGGCUGCUGAAGGAGGGAAGAAGCAGUCUUAGUUACAGGCGACCCCCGGGUUUUCGGGCAGCAGUGGGUUGGCGGGCUCGUCCUGGGCCUCCCCCACGUGUGCUUCCUUAUGAACCAAGGCAAGCUGGAACUCCUCGUGGUGGUACUGCCCUGGUCCCUCGUGUUGCUGCUGCCCCUACCGGAGGCCCUUCGCGCACCAGCCCCGCACAGACUCCGAGACAAAACAGAACACUUGUAAGAAAUUUUGUCUCGAGUCAAUUGAAAAAUAUGAAGUUUACAUAGUGAUUUGGGAAUGGAAACUGAGGGCUUGUUGAACACGUCCCGUUUAAUUAAGGCCACUCCUUCUAUUCUUCCUUCUUGUCCU